GAUGAACGCUGGCGGCGUGCUUAACACAUGCAAGUCGAACGGAACUGUUUGGAUGAAGUUUUCGGAUGGAUUUUAAACAGUUUAGUGGCGGACGGGUGAGUAACGCGUGGGUAACCUGCCUCACACUGGGGGAUAACAGUUGGAAACGACUGCUAAUACCGCAUAAGCCCACGACCCGGCAUCGGGUUGAGGGAAAAGGAGCGAUCCGCUUUGAGAUGGCCUCGCGUCCGAUUAGCUAGUCGGUGAGGUAACGGCCCACCAAGGCGACGAUCGGUAGCCGGACUGAGAGGUUGAACGGCCACAUUGGGACUGAGACACGGCCCAG
rnacentral:rRNA from 1 species